GAUGAACGCUGGCGGCGUGCCUAAUACAUGCAAGUCGAGCGAACAGACGAGGAGCUUGCUCCUCUGACGUUAGCGGCGGACGGGUGAGUAACACGUGGAUAACCUAUCUAUAAGACUGGGAUAACUUCGGGAAACCGGAGCUAAUACCGGAUAAUAUAUUGAACCGCAUGGUUCAAUAGUGAAAGACGGUUUUGCUGUCACUUAUAGAUGGAUCCGCGCCGCAUUAGCUAGUUGGUAAGGUAACGGCUUACCAAGGCAACGAUGCGUAGCCGACCUGAGAGGGUGAUCGGCCACACUGGAACUGAGACACGGUCCAGACUCCUACGGGAGGCAGCAGUAGGGAAUCUUCCGCAAUGGGCGAAAGCCUGACGGAGCAACGCCACGUGAGUGAUGAAGGUCUUCGGAUCGUAAAACUCUGUUAUUAGGGAAGAACAAAUGUGUAAGUAACUAUGCACGUCUUGACGGUACCUAAUCAGAAAGCCACGGCUAACUACGUG
rnacentral:rRNA from 1 species